GACGAAUGCUGGCGGCGUGUCUAAGGCAUGCAAGUCGAGCGAAUGGAUUGAGAGCUUGCUCUUAUGAAGUUAGCGGCGGACGGGUGAGUAACACGUGGGUAACCUGCCCAUAAGACUGGGAUAACUCCGGGAAACCGGGGCUAAUACCGGAUAACAUUUUGAACCGCAUGGUUCGAAAUUGAAAGGCGGCUUCGGCUGUCACUUAUGGAUGGACCCGCGUCGCAUUAGCUAGUUGGUGAGGUAACGGCUCACCAAGGCAACGAUGCGUAGCCGACCUGAGAGGGUGAUCCGCCACACUGGGACUGAGGAACGGCCCAGACGCCCGCGGGAGGCAGCAGUAGGGAAUCUUCCGCAAUGGCCGAAAGUCUGACGGAGCAACGCCGAGUGAGUGAUGAAGGCUUUCGGGUCGUAAAACUCUGUUGUUAGGGAAGAGCAAGUGCUAGUCGAAUAAGCUGGCACCUUGACGGUACCUAACCAGAAAGCCACGGCUAACUACGUGCCAGCCGCCGCCGUAA
rnacentral:rRNA from 1 species